rnacentral:rRNA from 1 species
UUGCUCUUCAACGAGGAAUGCCUAGUAAGCGCAUGUCAUCAGCAUGCGUUGAUUACGUCCCUGACCUUUGUACACACCGCCCGUCGCUACUACCGAUUGAAUGGCUCAGUGAGGCGUUCGGACUGGCUCGGGGAGGUUGGCAACGACCACCCCAAGCCGGAAAGUUCGUCAAACUCGGUCAUUUAGAGGAAGUAAAAGUCGUAACAAGGUCUCCGUAGGUGAACCUGCGGAGGGAUCAUUACACAAAAAAUAUGAAGGCUGUAUGCGGCUGUGUCUCUUUCGGGGGGCCAGCUUUUGCGGAGGCUGAAAUAUUUUUCACCCAUGUCUUUUGCGCACUUGUUGUUUCCUGGGCGGGUUUCGCCCGCCACCAGGACCACACCAUAAACCUUUUUUAUGCAGUUGCAAUCAGCGUCAGUAUAACAAAUGUAAAUCAUUUACAACUUUCAACAACGGAUCUCUUGGUUCUGGCAUCGAUGAAGAACGCAGCGAAAUGCGAUACGUAGUGUGAAUUGCAGAAUUCAGUGAAUCAUCGAAUCUUUGAACGCAUAUUGCGCCCCUUGGUAUUCCAUGGGGCAUGCCUGUUCGAGCGUCAUUUGUACCUUCAAGCUCUGCUUGGUGUUGGGUGUUUGUCUCGCCUCUGCGUGUAGACUCGCCUUAAAACAAUUGGCAGCCGGCGUAUUGAUUUCGGAGCGCAGUACAUCUCGCGCUUUGCACUCAUAACGACGACGUCCAAAAGUACAUUUUUACACUCUUGACCUCGGAUCAGGUAGGGAUACCCGCUGAACUUAAGCAUAUCAAUAAGCGGAGGA